GUAGAAACCAUUAUGCUUUGAGUGGUGCUAGAAACUACUUCGUGAAUCUCUGGUGGUCCACUAAUCGUUGAAUAGGAACUAUUAUCUGAUUGUUUUGUUGAAGCGUCGACUGUGGUUGCAGAUUUAUCUGAUGAUUAAUAGAAGUUUGUUCUGACCCUUGCUGUUGCUGUUGUUGCUGUUGCUGUUGCUGUUGCUGUUCCUGUUGCUUCUUGUCGUCAGCUAGUUCAGCUUGAGGAUUAAAAUACGCGAACGUUGGAUCAAAUAAGAAGAAUUUCGAUUUUUUUCGAGCCGAAAAGAGAAGGAAAUUCGUUAGUGACACAUCGAAAAUAUAUUUAGGUGAAAAUCCAUGACGCGAGUAUGCAUGAGCAUUCGUAUCUGUCGGCGGCAACUAUAAUAAUCUCCUCAACAUGAUUCACGUCCAACCUGUUGACUGUUAAUGGUAGAGGGAAGUAUAGAAU
rnacentral:lncRNA from 1 species